rnacentral:rRNA from 1 species
UACGGGGGGGCUAGCGUUGCUCGGAAUCACUGGGCGUAAAGCGCACGUAGGCGGUUUGCUAAGUCAGGGGUGAAAUCCUGGAGCUCAACUCCAGAACUGCCUUGAUACUGGCGGACUUGAGUCCGGGAGAGGUGAGUGGAACUGCGAGUGUAGAGGUGAAAUUCGUAGAUAUUCGCAAGAACACCAGUGGCGAAGGCGGCUC